GUUUUACGCCAGCCAAACAGACCACGCCACGUCAGAAAAAAACACUCCCAGCUUAAAUCCCUCUCCAAACGGCCGAAACCUCUCACGCCAGAAAACAGAAAAACCCCAAAGCUCUCACGCCAUUCCUCUGCUUCCUUCACGCCUCCACCACCGCCACUAAACAGUACAGCUCGCUUAAACCCCAAAUCAGAACCAAAACGAGUUAGGCAAAAAUUUCUGGUUUCCUCUGCUUCCUCCCUCUUCCACCCCUCUACUUCCUCUUACCCAAAUCUCCACCACACCACACACCGAAGCAUACCGCCACACAAGUCACCGGAUUCGUUGCUAGAGCUUGUAAACAUGCCGGAGCCACCGUGAGCAUGGUGUUGCGAUGCAAAGGUUUGUCUGGUUUCGGUGUGUUUGAUUUGAGGAAAAUCUUCUAUGUGUCCGGAAAAUUUGAAAGGUACUGCAAAAACUUUAGUUGAAGGUUUAUUUGCUGCUGGAGAUGUACAGGAUCCAUUACAACAAUUCCAAGAAAGUUGACGUACAAACAAGUUUUGUGUCGAAGAGAAUGGAUUGGGAAGCAAAUAUUUUUUGGUUAUAUAAUGUUUAAAUUGUGGUGGAUAGACAUAGAACCAUCUUCUUUUUUGUAUUUCCAACGUAGGGUCAUCUUUUUUGUAUAUUGAACUAUGACAGGUUUUAUUCUAGAUGAAUGUAUUCUCAAUUAGAAAUUUUCCAAAAGAAUUGUGACAAAUUUUAUAUCAAGAUGUAUGGUCAGUCAUAUGAUCUUUUAUGAA